AUGAAGGCUCAGGCUGACAAGCACAGGACAGAGAGGUCUUUUGAAGUGGGGGAAUCAGUUUUCCUGAAAAUGCAACCUUAUAUUCAGUCAUCCAUUGCACCGCGAGCAAACUAUAAGCUGGCUUUCAAAUAUUUUGGGCCUUUCAAGAUCACAGCUAAAGUUGGGACAGUGGCAUACCGACUGGCACUUCCGGAGAACUGUAGAGUGCACCCAGUUUUCCAUGUUUCUCUCCUCAAACGCCAGUUCAAGCCUGAUCAAUAG
rnacentral:rRNA from 1 species